CGAAAGGUGGGCUAACUCCAAGCUCUUGGGCCUAUACCCCAAAAAUGAGGGUUAGAGCCCCUCUCUUUCGU
rnacentral:tRNA from 1 species